GCAUUGCUAGCUCAAUGGUAGAGCGUUAUACUUCGGAUAUAACGGUUUUUGGUUCGAGUCCAGAGUGAUGCU
rnacentral:tRNA from 1 species